GGGUCAGUAGGUUGGUCGUGCCACCGGUACGUACUGGUCUCACUGAUUCCUCCUUCCUGAAGAACCGUAAUGCCAUUAAUUUGGUGUUGCGGGGAAACAGGACUGUUACUUUGAAAGAAUUAGAGUGUUUAAAGCAAGCUAACGCUUGAAUACAUUAGCAUGGAAUAACGAAAUAGGACGAUCGAUCCUAUUUUGUUGGUUUCUAGGAUUGACGUA
rnacentral:rRNA from 1 species